ensembl:misc_RNA 7SK 7SK RNA
AAACGUGAGGACGAUCUGGCUGUGACAUCUGUCACCCCACUGAUCUCCAGAGUUGAUUCGGCUGAUCAGGCUGGCUGGGCACCUGUCCCCUUUCUCCCUCGCCACUCCACAUGUAUUCCUCCCGAAACUGCACACUUGGUCAAAGAGGAAGACCUUUCCUGAUAGAGGAGGACCAUUCUUCAGUCAAGGGUAUAUGAGCACCUGUUCUCCCCUGCCAGAAUCUCCAAACGAGCUCUCUGCAUUCAUAGGCUCACUGCAGCCUCAAACUCCCGGGCUCAAGACACAUGU